UUUAUCUCAGUCGGCAGAGUGUGCGCCUGUCAAGCGUAAGGUUGCAAGAUCGAUUCCGGGUGUGUCC
rnacentral:tRNA from 1 species